GUUAAUCAGAUUUUUCGUGAUAUUUUUUUAUUAAGUAAUUAAAAAUUAAAAUUUUAUGUUAAAAGUAAACUUAUUACCAAUAGAAAUAAAACGAAUAUCCGUCUCAUUGCCGUCAAUGUUAAUAUCAACAGUCAUAACAGAAAGUCACUUUUACGUUGUUCCCGAUAAAUUUCUCUAUGUUUCAAUUGCAAAUAUUCCUUCCGGUCGUUACCGGUCACCAUAACUAAAGUACUUUGCAUAUUCGUAUAUUUUCUAUGAUUAUUACCUGCCAAUUCUCAUAAGCAGAAUUUGACAGCUGAAGCGAAAAUCUUUGUUUAAAGCAAUGUAGUGUUG
rnacentral:lncRNA from 1 species